UGGGGAAUAUUGCACAAUGGGGGAAACCCUGAUGCAGCGACGCCGCGUGAACGAAGAAGGUAUUCGUAUCGUAAAGUUCUGUCCUAUGGGAAGAUAAUGACAGUACCAUAGAAGAAAGCUCCGGCUAAAUACGUGCCAGCAGCCGCGGUAAUACGUAUGGAGCGAGCGUUGUCCGGAAUUAUUGGGCGUAAAGGGUACUCAGGCGGUUUAAUAAGUCGAAUGUUAAAGAUCGGGGCUCAACCCCGUAAAGCAUUGGAAACUGAUAAACUUGAGUAGUGGAGAGGAAAGUGGAAUUCCUAGUGUAGUGGUGAAAUACGUAGAUAUUAGGAGGAAUACCAGUAGCGAAGGCGACUUUCUGGACACAAACUGACGCUGAGGUACGAAAGCGUGGGGAGCAAACAGG
rnacentral:rRNA from 1 species